UACGUAGGGUGCGAGCGUUAAUCGGAAUUACUGGGCGUAAAGCGUGCGCAGGCGGUUCGUGAUGUCUGAUGUGAAAGCCCCGGGCUCAACCUGGGAAUUGCAUUGGAAACUAGCGGGCUGGAGUGUGGCAGAGGGGGGUGGAAUUCCACGUGUAGCAGUGAAAUGCGUAGAGAUGUGGAGGAACACCGAUGGCGAAGGAAGCCCCCUGGGCUAACACUGACGCUCAUGCACGAAAGCGUGGGGAGCAAACAGG
rnacentral:rRNA from 1 species